UACGAAGGGGGCUAGGCGUUGCUCGGAAUCACUGGGCGUAAAGCGCACGUAGGCGGCUUCUUAAGUCAGGGGUGAAAUCCUGGAGGCUCAACUCCAGAACUGCCCUUUGAUACUGAAGAUCUUGAGUCCGGGAGAGGUGAGUGGAACUGCGAGUGUAGAGGUGAAAUUCGUAGAUAUUCGCAAGAACACCAGUGGCGAAGGCGGCUCACUGGCCCGGUACUGACGCUGAGGCACGAAAGCGUGGGGAGCAAACAGG
rnacentral:rRNA from 1 species